GUUCGUAUUGCUUUCAACACUGCCCUUUUUAGGUAUUGGUGCACUAGGCCCAUGGCGCUCAACCAGGGGGUUGGGACCCCCAUGGGGGUCACAGGAUUAUAUCUGGGGGUCGCCAGACAGUUUGGAAGAAAUAAAGAGAAGACAUAUUUUAGACUUGAUGAAUGGUUUUUACAUGAAUGUGUGAAGUUUGGUAGAUUUAAUUUGUUAUAUUCAGAGCUUUAUUUGUAAAACCGUCCUGGAACACAGAAAGGCUGCUGUUCCGGCUGGUCAAGUGGAGAGAAAAAGUCAAACGCAUCAGAAAACCACAGAGCCUGGAGCACACUGGACAAGGCUAGGUGGUAACUGCUAAAAGUAAAAAAAAGCAAAGCAUUAUUUGUCUAUUAAUCAGAGUAUUCACAAUAUUUACUUAAAAUCAGCAGGGGGAGGCGUGUAGAAACAGCUCUUUGCACCAGAUGUAGC